GAACAAGAGACUCCCCUCGGCUCUAAGCUCCCAUGCUCCUUGAUUCUCAAUCUCCUUCUCACUUCUCUUUCGAGUUUUGAAUCAUCGCUAUUGAAAGAUGAUUGACGAGUGAUAAAGAUAUGAGUUCUUGGAUCGUGACCUUGAAGAAUUUCAGAGAAAGUAGUUGAAGAUGGUAGCGGGAUCGUGCGAUGAUGAGGUGAUGAAGAUCGAAGUUCAGCGCUGUAGUUUAUCAAACGCAAUUCAUUGUUGCUUACAGAUAUAGAACGAUGAUAACGUUGUGGAGCGUGUUGAAGAUUUAGGAUGGAGUGUUUGGCAGAUCGUUGUUGUAGAUGAAGCUGAUGCGAUGAUGAUGAUUAAUGGAGCGAUGUGAAGAUGAAGAAGAUUGAAUAUUCAUUAGAAUUGCAGUUGCGAUGAAGCUGAUAUAAAGACCGAGUUAACAAGGUUCUUGCUGAUUGAAGCGUGAGGAAUAUUUAUGAAUUUUCUGCGGAAUUGAAGGUUCUGAGGAAGAUGAUGAUUGCAGACGGUGAAGGUCCUGGUUGUUACGUUGUAGGUUGAAUAGAGGAUGAAGAUGAAGACUCGAGGAAAAAGAGAAUCGAUAUUUUCUGAGAGAAUCUUCAAGAGGUUGAAGAGGUGAUGAAGAUUGGAGAAGAGAGUGAAGAUUCAGCGAGAGUUUGUUAUGGAUUCCGUUUCUUUUCCUUUUUGGUUUCGGUUCUCUCUGAAUCUGUUAUACUCUUUUUUGUUAUUGCUUUUUCUUCUCCCUGAACUGUUACCGAACCGGUUCGGUUUUGUUUUGCAGCAAGUCGGUUUUUGCUUCGUCCAAGUUUCAAUUGUGCAGGUCUUCUAGCGGCAAGGGCAUGUUGGUUUGUAAUAAUGAAGUGGGAAUUUGGCAAAGUUUAGAGGGAGAGCAGCAUGAAGUUUUAGAAUCAAAGAAGGAGUUUUAGAAUUUGAUUUGUAUGGGAUUUAUCUUGUGAAUGUAUGGACCUUGUGUAUAGUUUUGUAAUGGAUAUUUGAAUUCUCUUUUUGUGUAAUGAUUUUUUUGUAACAAAA